AAGACCUUGCGCUUUUGGAGCGGCCGAUGUCUGAUUAGCUUGUUGGUGAGGUAAARGCUUACCAAGGCUUCGAUCAGUAGCUGGUCUGAGAGGACGACCAGCCACACUGGGACUGAGACACGGCCCAGACUCCUACGGGAGGCAGCAGUGGGGAAUUUUGGACAAUGGGGGCAACCCUGAUCCAGCCAUGCCGCGUGAGUGAAGAAGGCCUUCGGGUUGUAAAGCUCUUUCAGCCGGAACGAAACGGUUACGGUUAAUACCCGUGACUACUGACGGUACCGGAAGAAGAAGCACCGGCUAACUACGUGCCAGCAGCCGCGGUAAUACGUAGGGUGCGAGCGUUAAUCGGAAUUACUGGGCGUAAAGCGUGCGCAGGYGGUUUUGUAAGUCAGAUGUGAAAUCCCCGGGCUCAACCUGGGAACU
rnacentral:rRNA from 1 species